rnacentral:tRNA from 1 species
GUUUCUGUGGUGUAGUGGUUAUCACGUUUGCUUUACACGCAAAAGGUCUCCGGUUCGAUCCCGGGCAGGAACAUAUGAUGAUGGUUUUUUUGCUGUUAAUAAACCCAACUUGUCAUGAUUUGAGAUUACUUUAGCGAGAAGUAGACAUAAGAUGUUUAUGUGGUGUAGUGGUUAUCACGUUUGCUUUACACGCAAAAGGUCUUCGGUUCGAUCCCGGGCAGGAACA